ACCAGGUCCAAUACUUCCCGGCCACGUCCUCCUCAUUCUGAUGGUCUGAGAGAGAAAAUGACAAUGUAUGCAGUGGUUAGCAUUCAGCGACUACACUCCGUAUUAUGACCAAUGCGUUCUUGGGGAAGUUUUACAAAUCCUUAGUUUUUUUCCAACCAUGGCAGGGGUACCAUCUGUAGUUCUACAGAUUAUUUUAUUGAUAUCUAUGCUCUGGUUUUCAAAAU